AGCAGCCGCGGUAAUUCCAGCUCCAAUAGCGUAUAUUAAAGUUGUUGCAGUUAAAAAGCUCGUAGUUGAAUUUCGGGGUUAGUAGGUUGGUCAUGCCUCUGGUAUGUACUGGUCUCACUGAUUCCUCCUUCCUGAUGAGCCGUAAUGCCAUUAAUUUGGUGUUGCGGGGAAUUUGGACUGUUACUUUGAAAAAAUUAGAGUGUUUAAAGCAAGCUAACGCUUGAAUACAUUAGCAUGGAAUAAUGAAAUAGGACGUUCGAUCCUAUUUUGUUGGUUUCUAGGAUUGACGUAAUGAUUAAUAGGGAUAGUUGGGGGCAUUAGUAUUCAAUUGUCAGAGGUGAAAUUCUUGGAUUUAUUGAAGACUAACUACUGCGAAAGCAUUUGCCAAGGAUGUUUUCAUUAAUCAAGAACGAAAGUUAGGGGAUCGAAGACGCUCAGAUACCGUCGUAGUCUUAACCAUAAACUAUGCCGACUAGGGAUCGGAUGAUGUUAAUUUUUUAAUGACUCAUUCGGCGCCUUACG
rnacentral:rRNA from 1 species